rnacentral:rRNA from 1 species
GACGAACGCUGGCGGCGUGCUUAACACAUGCAAGUCGAACGGAAAGGCCCUGCUUUUGUGGGGUGCUCGAGUGGCGAACGGGUGAGGAACACGUGAGUAACCUGCCCUUGACUUUGGGAUAACUUAAGGAAACUGGGGCUAAUACCGGAUAGGAGCUCCUGCUGCAUGGUGGGGGUUGGAAAGUUUCGGCGGUUGGGGAUGGACUCGCGGCUUAUCAGCUUGUUGGUGGGGUAGUGGCUUACCAAGGCUUUGACGGGUAGCCGGCCUGAGAGGGUGACCGGCGACAUUGGGACUGAGAUACGGACCAGACUCCUACGGGAGGCAGCAGGGGGGAAUAUUGCACAAUGGGCGGAAGCGUGAUGCAGCAACGCCGCGUUCGUGAUGACGGCCUUCGGGUUGUAAACCGCUUUCGCCUGUGACGAAGCGUGAGUGACGGUAAUGGGUAAAGAAGCACCGGCUAACUACGUG